UGGUUUUGUAUUGUUGUACACAACUCGUGUAUAAUAUGAUUUUAAAGUAAUUAAACACACAAGUUUUUACAUUAAACAAAUUCUAAAAUACUUAAUGAAUAAUCUACAAACACUACAAAUUAACUUGUCGCUAAUUAAUGUCACUUGACCAGUCUUCAGACCCAAAACGAGUUUUCUAUUUUAUAUUGCAUACAUUGUCAGUCCUCGGAAACUCGGAUGAACACUAAAUUACAGCAUUACUUGCUAUUAAUUUUACGUCCAAUUGAAUUUAGCUUGGAUGUGGAGUCGAGAAGCAAUUCUUUAUAGAUGGUAUAACUGUAAGAUGCGUUAUUCGGCCACAAAUUUAAAAAGUUCACUGCUUCUCCUUCAGAAUCAAGGGAAACUUGAAGGGAGUGGACACUUUUUCUUUAUUUCUCUUCUGAGAGCGAAGUUUUGGGUCUUGAGGUCUGUCAAUAAUUAAAGGCAUGUCUAAAAUGGGGCUAUAACAAAUACGAUUUUCUGGAAAAACCUGUUAAGGAAAAACCAACAAAAAAGAAGAAAACUACACUUUGACCUUGGUAAAAUGUUAGUAAAUCAACAGUCAACUAAUAAAGGCUAUUAUAAAAAAAAAAAAAAA